UUUUUCUUUCCUCUCUUGGUCCCGUCCCCAUCCCCUCGCCUUUAUUUACUGGUUCCCUCACUCUUUUGCGUUAGUAUGGCUUUGUAAAUGGUCCAAGUCGGACCGAAACGUCAUCUUAAGCUUCUCUCUCCUAUGUGCGGGUUAUUUGUUUAUGUUUGUGUAUAGUCUAAGUAAGAAUGUUCUCAUUCUAGAACGAGGUAAAGUAAUUAUUACCUUAAUUAGUAACAUUGGUAGUUUCAGUGUAAUUAGCAAUGGGGGUUAAAUAAUAUUGGAGAAAUUUUCAUAGAAUUAUUUUUCUGAGAAUUACCAAUCGAAUUUUGAGGUGCAAAGGCUAUGACGGAUGCAGGAGCUAAUCAGGUGCACGACACUCAUCAGGUGGAUGAGCUAAUCAGGAGCAGCAACAAAUCAGGCGCAGGAGCUAAUCAGGUGCAGCAGCAAAUCAGGUGCAGAAGCUAAUCAGAUGCAGCAGCAAAUCAGGUGCAGGAGCUAAUCAGGUGCAGGAACUAAUCAGGUGCAGAAGUUAAUCAGGUGCAGAAGCUAAUCAGGUGCAGGAACUAAUCAAGUGCAGGAGCUAAUCAGGUACAGGAACUAAUCAGGCAAAGGAGCUAAUCAGGUGCAGGAGCUCAUCAGGUGGACAAGCUAAUCAGAUGCACGAACUCAUCAGGUGGAGGAGCUAAUCAGGUGCAGAAGCUAAUCAGGUGCAGAAGCUGAUCAAGUGAAGGAACUAAUCAGGUGCAGAAGCUAAUCAGGUGCAGAAGCUGAUCAAGUGAAGGAACUAAAUCAGGUGCAGAAGCUAAUCAACGCAGGAACUAAUCAGGUAAAGGAGCUAAACAGGUGCAGGAGCUCAUCAGGUGAAGAAGCUAAUCAGGUGCAGGAGCUAAUCAGGUGCAGGAGCUAAUCAGGUGCAGGAGCUAAUCAUGUGCAGGAGCUAAUCAAGUGAAGGAGCUAAUCAGGUGCAGGAGCUAAUCAGGUACAGGAAUUAAUCAGGCAAAGGAGCUAAUCAGGUGCAGGAGCUCAUCAGGUCAAGAAGCUAAUCAGGUGCAGGAGCUAAUCAAGUGAAGGAGCUAAUCAGGUGCAAGAACUAAUCAGGCGGAGGAGCUAAUCAGGUGCGGGAACUAAUCAGGCCGGUGCAGGAACUAAUCAGGUGCAGGAGCUAAUCAUGUGCAGGAACUAAUCAGGUGCAGAAGCUAAUCAUGUGCAGGAGCUAAUCAAGUGCAGGAGCUAAUCAGGUGCAAGAACUAAUCAGGCGGAGGAGCUAAUCAGGUGCGGGAACUAAUCAGGCCGGUGCAGGAACUAAUCAGGUGCAGGAGCUAAUCAUGUGCAGGAGCUAAUCAAGUGAAGGAGCUAAUCAGGUGCAGGAGCUCAUCAGGUCAAGAAGCUAAUCAGGUGAGGCAGCAAAUCAGGUACAGGAGCUAAUCAGGUGCAAGAACUAAUCAAGCGGAGGAGCUAAUCAGGUGCAGGAGCUAAUCAAGUGCAGGAAUUAAUCAGGUAAAGGAGCUAAUCAGGUGCAGGAGCUCAUCAGUUAAAGAAGCUAAUCAGGUGCAGGAACUAACCAUGUGCAGGAGCUAAUCAAGUGAAGGAGCUAAUCAGGUGCAGCAGCAAAUCUGGUACAGGAGCUAAUCAGGUACAGGAACUAAUCAGGUGCAUUAGCUAAUCAGGUGCAGGAGCUAAUCAGGCGCAGGAACUAAUCAGGUGCAGGAGCUGAUCAGGUGCAGGAGCUAAUUAGGUGAAGAAGCUAAUCAGGUGCAGGAGCUAAUCAGGUGAAGGAGCUAGUCAGGUGCAGGAGCUAAUCAGAUGCAAGUGCUAAUCAGGUGAAGCAGCAAAUCAGGUGAAGAAGUUAAUCAGGUGCGGGAGCUAAUCAGGUGCAGGAGAUAAUCAGGUGCAGGAGCUAAUCAGGUGCAGGAGCUAAUCAGGUGUAGGAACUAAUCAGGUGCAGGAGCUAAUCAGGUGCAGGAACUAAUCAGGUGCAGGAGCUAAUCAGGUGCAGGAACUAAUCAGGUGCAGGAGCUAAUCAGGUGCAGGAGCUAAUCAGGUGCAGGAGCUAAUCAGGUGCAGGAGCUAAUCAGGUGUAGGAACUAAUCAGGUGCAGGAACUAACCAUGUGCAGGAGGUAAUCAAGUGAAGGAGCUAAUCAGGUGCAGCAGCAAAUCAGGUACAGGAGCUAAUCAGGUACAGGAACUAAUCAGGUGCACUAUCUAAUCAGGUGCAGGAGCUAAUCAGGUGCAGGAGUUUAUCAGAUGGAAAAGCUAAUCAGGUGCAGGAGCUAAUCAUGUGCAGAAGCUAAUCAGGCGCAGCAACUAAUCAGGUGCAGCAGCAAAUCAGGUGCAGGAGCUAAUCAAGUACAGGAACUAAUCAUGUGCAGGAGCUAAUCAGGUGCAGAAGCUAUUCAGGUGCAGGCUCUGAACAGGUGCAGGAGCUAAUCAGGUGCAAAAGCUAAUCAGGGGCAGCAACUAAUCAGGUGCAGAUGCUAAUCAGGGGCAGGAGCUAAUCAGGUGAAGAAGCUAAUCAGGUGAAGAAGUUAAUCAGGUGCAGGAGCUAAUCAGAUGCAGGAGCUAAUCAGGUACAGGAGCUAACCAGGUGCAAGAGUUAAUCAGGUGCAGGAGCUAAUCAGGAGCAGGAACUAAUCAGGUACAGGAACUAAUCAGGUGCAUAAGCUAAUCAGGUGCAGGAAUUAAUCAGGUGAAGAAGCUAAUCAGGUGCAUUAGCUAACCAGGUUCAUUAGCUAAGCAGGUGCAGGAGCUAAUCAGGCGCAGGAACUAAUCAGGUGCAGGAGCUGAUCAGGUGCAGGAGCUAAUCAGGUGAAGAAGCUAAUCAGGUGCAGGAGCUAAUCAGGUGAAGGAGCUAGUCAGGUGCAGGAGCUAAUCAGAUGCAAGAGCUAAUCAGGUGAAGCAGCAAAUCAGGUGAAGAAGUUAAUCAGGUGCGGGAGCUAAUUAGAUGCAGGAGAUAAUCAGGUGCAGGAGCUAAUCAGGCGCAGGAGCUAAUCAGGUGUAGGAACUAAUCAGGUGCAGGAGCUAAUCAGGUGCAGGAACUAAUCAGGUGCAGGAGCUAAUCAGGUGCAGGAGCUAAUCAGGUGCAGGAACUAAUCAGGUGCAGGAGCUAAUCAGGUGCAGGAACUAAUCAGGUGCAGGAGCUAAUGAGGUGCAGGAGCUAAUCAGGUACAGAAACUAAUCAGGAGCAAUAUUUAAAUCAUAUGUAUGAACAAGUCAGGCACAGAGUUCCGGGGGUCAACGCCCCCAGGACCCAGUCUUUGACUAGUCAUCAUGGUGGAUCAGGGUCUGAUCAACCAGGUUGUUACCGUUGGCCGCACGCAAUCCGACGUACGAACCACAGCCCGGUUGGUCAGGUACUGACUUUAGGUGCCUGUCCAGUGCCUGCUUGAAGAC